CCAGAAUCAAAGCGGGAAUGUGGUAUUACUGAUUCGAAUAUUCGAAAUAUUAACUACCCAAUCAAAUUGUCUGGGUAUUUUUCAAAUCACAGCGAACUUGUGUCUCUAGAAUUCUGCUACUUUGAUCCGUUCAAUAAAUUCGAGAACACACGGAUUGAAAAUGAAGAGACAGACGUUCUUUUUACAACGAAUAACAUCAAAAUAGAAGUUGACUGCAUAUCCGACCUUUUGACUUACAGAAUACCCGGCGGCGG